rnacentral:rRNA from 1 species
GUAGCUGGCCUUCCGAGGCAUGUGCACGCCCUGCUCAUCCACUCUACACCUGUGCACUUACUGUGGGUAUCAGAUCGUGAAGCGUGCUCUUUUACCGGAGCUUGUGAAGCGUGUCUGUGCCUGCGUUUAUCACAAACACUAUAAAGUAUCAGAAUGUGUAUUACGAUGUAACGCAUCUAUAUACAACUUUCAGCAACGGAUCUCUUGGCUCUCGCAUCGAUGAAGAACGCAGCGAAAUGCGAUAAGUAAUGUGAAUUGCAGAAUUCAGUGAAUCAUCGAAUCUUUGAACGCACCUUGCGCUCCUUGGUAUUCCGAGGAGCAUGCCUGUUUGAGUGUCAUGAAAUCUUCAACCUAUAAGCUUUUGUGGUUUGUAGGCUUGGACUUGGAGGCUUGUCGGCCUUGAUCGGUCGGCUCCUCUUAAAUGCAUUAGCUUGAUUCCUUGCGGAUCGGCUCUCGGUGUGAUAAUAUCUACGCCGCGACCGUGAAGCGUUUGGCGAGCUUCUAACCGUCUCACUUGAGAGACAACUUUAUGACCUCUGACCUCAAAUCAGGUAGGACUACCCGCUGAACUUAAGCAUAUCAAUAAGCGGAGGAAAAGAAACUAACAAGGAUUCCCCUAGUAACUGCGAGUGAGGCGGGAAAAGCUCAAAUUUAAAAUCUGGCGGUCUUUGGCCGUCCGAGUUGUAGUCUGGAGAAGUGCUUUCCGCGCUGGACC